CCUACGGGGGGCAGCAGUGAGGAAUAUUGGUCAAUGGACGAGAGUCUGAACCAGCCAAGUAGCGUGAAGGAUGACUGCCCUAUGGGUUGUAAACCUCUUUUAUCAAGGAAUAAAACGAGGCACGCGUGCCUUUUUGCAUGUACCUUAUGAAUAAGGAUCGGCUAACUCCGUGCCAGCAGCCGCGGUAAUACGGAGGAUCCGAGCGUUAUCCGGAUUUAUUGGGUUUAAAGGGUGCGUAGAUGGGUUGUUAAGUCAGUUGUGAAAGUUUGCGGCUCAACCCUAAAAUUGCAGUUGAUACUGGCUGUCUUGAGUACGGUUGAGGUAGGCGGAAUGCGUGGUGUAGCGGUGAAAUGCUUAGAUAUCACGAAGAACCCCGAUUGCGAAGGCAGCUUACUAGACUGUGACUGACAUUGAUGCUCGAAAGUGUGGGUAUCGAACAGGAUUAGAUACCCGAGUAGUC
rnacentral:rRNA from 1 species